GCUUCGAUACGAAAUUCAAUUAUCACAAAUCAUUUACAUGAGCACAUAUCGAUAUUCGAUAUCGGAAUGUGUAACAAAAGAUCGUGUUUCACUUUCCACACUUCCGUUCGUUCGUGUUGAUUUAUUGAUGCAACGCCCCACGCAGCCCCGACUGUAAUCCUAAACUCCAAAACGAGAGCUCCAGGGAGAUGUCAAGCCCAAAAUAAAUACAUUUUUGAGGAAUCUUUCAACAAAAUCAUUUGCCACAAUACAAAUCAAAGCGUGGGACGUGGGCGCCUGCCGCUCAAUUGGCAAAAGGGAACGGCAAAUGCAUGUUGCACAUGUCGUUUCGGGAAUUUCGGAUUGGCAUAGUCCCCAAGCUGUGACACGGGCUUAGCACCCACGCCAGAAAACAGCUCGAGUCGAGCACAACAACUGAAUCUUUGCUUUCGUCCCGCACAUAGCCCGAGUCGAAUGUGAUAAUACAAUAAUAAAGUUUUCAACGCUUACAAACCAAUCACCCACAAGUCACAUGCCGAAUGCAGCAUGCCACAUGGCACAUGCAACUGCCAAGACACUGGCGUUGCAGCAAAGACUUUGUCAUUCCGCUUGGGAAGCUGCUCGCGUGACGUUUCCUCGGAUCGCAUCUCUCUGCGGCGCACUUUCAAUUGAUGAAUUUCAUGUUGAUGUGUUUAUAAUGUGGCUUAAGGCCUAAGAGGAUUGCUUUUUGUGGGAUUUUGAAUAGGAGUUGGAUUGCCAAAUGGAAAAGGUCAGAGUGCAAAGCAGAUACAUACUAGGGGAUAUGCUAGAUGAUCUAUGUGAAGGGAUCACAUACUAGGGUGCUUUAUUUUCAGAAGGAUUUCCAAGAUUAUCCUGAAUGCUUUACUUGAUGUAGUUUCAGUAUCAGUUUCCCAAAAGAGAAGAUUCAAAAUGCUCAAAAUCUGACUUGGCUGCUUGGCUUCCUAUAUACCAUCCGAUAUACCCUACACAUAACUCUCCCAAUUCCCUAAUAAAAUUAAAUUGAAACAGACAA